rnacentral:snRNA from 1 species
UUACUCUGGUUUCUCUUCAUAACGCACAAGUCUUUCGCCUUUUACUAAAGACUUCCGUUGAGAGUGACUCCAACGAGUUUAGCCUAUUUUUGGCAGGCUUUGCUCUCUGGCAGAGCCG